rnacentral:rRNA from 1 species
UACGUAGGGUGCGAGCGUUAAUCGGAAUUACUGGGCGUAAAGCGUGCGCAGGCGGUUCGUUAAGUCAGAUGUGAAAGCCCCGGGCUCAACCUGGGAACUGCAUUUGAAACUGGCGGGCUUGAGUAUGGCAGAGGGGGGUGGAAUUCCGCGUGUAGUAGUGAAAUGCGUAGAGAUGCGGAGGAACACCGAUGGCGAAGGCAGCCCCCUGGGCCAAUACUGACGCUCAGGCACGAAAGCGUGGGGAGCAAACAGG